rnacentral:rRNA from 1 species
UCCAGACUCCUACGGGAGGCAGCAGUGAGGAAUAUUGGUCAAUGGGCGGGAGCCUGAACCAGCCAAGUCGCGUGAGGGAUGACGGCCCUAUGGGUUGUAAACCUCUUUUGCCGGGGAGCAAAGUGCCGCACGUGUGCGGUUUGGAGAGUACCCGGAGAAAAAGCAUCGGCUAACUCCGUGCCAGCAGCCGCGGUAAUACGUAGGGGGCAAGCGUUAUCCGGAUUUACUGGGUGUAAAGGGAGCGUAGACGGCGACGCAAGUCUGAAGUGAAAUGCCAGUGCUCAACACUGGAACUGCUUUGGAAACUGUGUGGCUAGAGUGCAGGAGAGGUAAGUGGAAUUCCUAGUGUAGCGGUGAAAUGCGUAGAUAUUAGGAGGAACACCAGUGGCGAAGGCGGCUUACUGGACUGUAACUGACGUUGAGGCUCGAAGGCGUGGGGAGCAAACAGGAUUAGAUACCCGCGUAU